rnacentral:tmRNA from 1 species
GGGGAUAAUUGGUUUUGACAGCAGGCAGAAUAGGUAUGUAAGCAUGCCGAGCAUGGACACCGCUCGUACUUAGGGUCCAACAGUUUAACUGGCAACAACAAUGUAGCUCUCGCUGCUUAAUCUGAAGUAUAGUAAGAUUACUUUUUUCUCCCGACAAGGUUGGGAGACGAGACAUCGCUCCAAGCCCGGCUUCGCGGCUGAAUGGAUAUAGCGGUGCAGAAAUUGCGAAGAUGGUUGACGUAAGCUGCGGUGCGUCAAUGAGACAUUAGCAGAUAAGGCUUUAAUUGGUGGCUUGGGUCUUGUUAAAGCACGAAAAUGCAGGCCAAGAUAAGCAUGUAGAAAGCGUAUUGAUUCCUUGUUUGGACGUGGGUUCGACUCCCACUAUCUCCACUA